rnacentral:rRNA from 1 species
AACGAACGCUGGCGGCAGGCCUAACACAUGCAAGUCGAGCGAGACCUUCGGGUCUAGCGGCGGACGGGUGAGUAACGCGUGGGAACGUGCCCUUUGGUUCGGAAUAGCCCCGGGAAACUGGGAGUAAUACCGGAUAAGCCCUACGGGGGAAAGAUUUAUCGCCAAAGGAUCGGCCCGCGUUGGAUUAGGUAGUUGGUGGGGUAAUGGCCUACCAAGCCGACGAUCCAUAGCUGGUUUGAGAGGAUGAUCAGCCACACUGGGACUGAGACACGGCCCAGACUCCUACGGGAGGCAGCAGUGGGGAAUCGUAGACAAUGGGGGAAACCCUGAUCUAGCCAUGCCGCGUGAGCGAUGAAGGCCUUAGGGUUGCAAAGAUCUUUCAGCUGGGAAGAUAAUGACGGUACCAGCAGAAGAAGCCCCGGCUAACUCCGUGCCAGCCGCCGCUGUAAGAC